UACAGAGGGUGCGAGCGUUAAUCGGAAUUACUGGGCGUAAAGGGUGCGUAGGUGGCUAAAUAAGUUAGGUGUGAAAUUCCUGGGCUCAACUUGGGGACUGCGCCUAAUACUGUUUGACUAGAGUACUGUAGAGGGAAGUGGAAUUUCCGGUGUAGCGGUGAAAUGCGUAGAUAUCGGAAGGAACAUCAGUGGCGAAGGCGAUUUUCUGGACAGAUACUGACACUGAGGCACGAAAGCGUGGGGAGCAAACAGG
rnacentral:rRNA from 1 species